GGGGCGGGCGGUGCUGCGGGCGCUCUGCGGCUCCGGCAGAGUGACGCCCGCUCAAAGACGGUCAGAUUGGUGCUGGUUUAUUAAAAUCCUGCACGGUUGCAUUUUUCACUGAGAGAAAUAAAACACAAGGGUGCAGGCCAGGACGUCAGUGCGACCUAUUCCUGUCACGUCCCAGCAGCAUGUGCUGCAGGAACAUGCUGUGACAAAUAGAUUUUCCAAAUGAGUUACAAAGCAAUUUCCAAAAGUACCUUCGAAAUGACAGUUUAGUAAAAAUAUUCCCUUUUUCAUCAAGUUUAGAGGGCAGAUCCCCACACUGAAAUACAAAAGCUUGCGCCGUGAGCAAGGAGCGAUGUAAGUGGAAUAUGCUCUUCUUGUAGGGUGCAGAAGUGUACAUAAAGAAGAAAAUCCCCUUCUCCACAUCCCCAAAUGCCUCAGGUUGUGGUGUGUGAUGGCCAAGGGAGGCACAGAGACCUGAGGGCAUGAGGCACUGAGAGGGCAACCUCAGUGCGCUUUGCAGAGACCUCUCACGCUCAUUGCGCUGCACAGCUCGGCCUGUUUCGCAUCUCAGCCAGUUGAUGCUGCCCCUUGGCUAACGUAAAUAGCAUUAAAUACACAAAAUAAGACACCUGAGAAAACUGCAGGGAUGUGGAUGGGAGCACUGGGGGAAGGCUGGGUUCCUCCUAUCUGACAGGACACCGCAGCCGGGGCUGUUGCCCUGCAUCCUUUCCUGACGCUGCCUGGGGCACUCCUUUCCCUCCUGGCACUUCCACUCUCAGGAACAGAUUUGCAUUUCCUAAUGGGCUGGCUUGCCUGUGGCAGACAAUUCUUGUUUGUAAGUAAUGUCAUACUGGAUUUGUGAUACAAGCUUUUGCAAUCCCUUUGUUGUGCAAAUGCAGGCAAAUAACUGAAGUAAGCCAAUUGGCUUCAGCAGGAUUACCCAUAAAAGACUGAAGUGCUAUGUCACAUGCAUAAAUAUCACUCUCAGGAGCAGAUUCUGCAAUCGAGGACAACUUUAAUUUUUAAGGAAGAAGAGCAGCAGCAGCACAAGUCACUAAAUAAGCAAAGGACAAAGCCAGUUUCCCGUUCAGUUCAAAUGUGAGAGGUUUAGCAGCAGUAUUAGCAUUAUAGCACACUCGUAUUUACAUCUCAGAGUAUCAUUCCUAACCUAGAGGAGGAUUGUGCCACAUAUUGCAGGUAGGAGAACAGCUGCAGGAGGAAGGGAUUUAGAGUAACCAAGCAUGCAUUCUAUGGGAAAGCAAAAAUAGCACUUCUGGAUUCCAGCUUCUAACCAGCGUCUCUCAGGAGGAAGGCAGCGAUGUCAGCAGGGUCUCUGGCCAGCUUGUAAAAUUAAUUUCAAAAUCUCUUAAGUACAUUCUGAAAAGGAACAUUCAGGAGAGAAGAUAAACUGCAUGCUAUGAUUGGUAUUGCAGACAGCAUUUUUAGCAAUCAAAGGGAGCAUAGAAGCAGUUCUAGAACUUCCAGUGUUUUCUUCCCCAGUGUCACUCACUGCAUGAAUUCCUGUUACCAUGUGGAAGUGGAUUCAGCAAUUUGCAAGGAAUUCUUACCUGUUGUAUGGUUUUGCUGAUAGGUGAAAAGCCACAAUUAGACAAGUAGCAGGCAUUUUGUGAGCAUUCAUUGCUUUAGGCAAUGCCAUGUUGCUCAAACUUUUUAUAAUGUAGAUGGGAUCUUGCAUUUGGAGUCCCCUUGCAUUUGGAGUUUACUAUUGGUUUUGGGUAGGAACGUGGUACCUGCCUUCAGCGGGUAAGAAAUGAAGAAAGUUGCUAAUUACAGCACAAGACUGUAGAUGUGCAGUCGUUUCCAAAGGGAUGGGAUCUCCGACACUUUUGAUGUCUUGGAUGGCUGUGAUGAUGUAAGUAGAACACUCACGUGGUGGGGAUGAAAGAGAAAUGCUGUGUUUGUUCUUCAGAGGGAGACCCUUUCCUACCUGAAAUAUAUUCAAUAAACUGAACAAAGCAGUGAGCCUUUCCCACAGUCUGAAACAUUAAACGUCAGCAGUUUCCUUUUUGUUAUGUCUCAAAGUUCCCAGUAGAUGCCAUAGGGAAACAAUGGGAACGAUGUUCGUCCAGUUAAGUUGCAUGCACUCCAAUGCCAUUCAACAAAAAGAUACUCAAUGCCCAGAGAAAAAAUAAUAAUAUGAUCUGAUGAAUUGAUCUUUGUGCACAGAAAAAAAAAAAAAACAAUUGUUUUGCAGAAAUUAUAUGAAAGCUGGAAAAUGAUGACCUGUUUGAAAGGAAGACAGGAGGAAGGGGAGGGAGUUGCUCUGUGAGCCUCACAUUCUAUACCAGAUGAAGGUGGUAGAAUUUUUAUUGAUCUGGAAAGUUUGCUUAAGUGAGUUACUGGGGAAAAAAGAUAGCAACAUGACCUAUGUCUUGAGAUCAGGAAUAAGAGCUCGAAUCCUGAAUUACAGGGAGAGUACAUUUGUGUCAACUCAUUCUGUGUGUAAGCUAAGCAGUAAGUUACCCAAACAUGAAUCAUAUCCUUUUUUUUUUUUCACUGCCUGUCAUUUGAGAGGCAGAGAGUUAGCUGCUGUGAGUGAGGGGAAACCAGCAGGUGAGCCGACAGCAGCAUUCCUAAGCGCUGAGAGGAUGCCUGUGGGUCCACAGCUUACAAGGGUGGGAGGUGUGGGAGCCUGUCAAGUGUUUGGGCAGAGUUUGCAGUGUUAACCCUUGGAAUCUGAGGAUUAAGGGGAUGAUGCUCUUCAUUCUGAACAUUUGGAAGAAGUCCAGUGACUCAAGGUGUGAAGGAAUGACAAGAGCCAAGACAAGCAGCUUGUGCUGUCUAAGAAUAUCCUGUCAUGGUGUAUCCUCAAAUCUGACAGCUUUUCUCUUAAGCAUGAACUACUCUUUGAUGCCAUGAAGUCUAUCCUAGUUUUCAUGAAACACCCCUGUAGGUGGCCAAUGAUACAGCUCAUUGCCAGUAAGUCAACAGUGUGCAAGCUUCAUCAGCUAAAUAUCCAAGGAUGUUGUAAUCAAGGCAACAAAAUCCUGUGCGAUAUUCUAAAAGUGGACACAUUUUUGUGGGCUGUACUCUGUACCGGGUUUUAUCACACAAACCCAGAUGUGUAUUUUUGGCAGAGUUUUAAUCUCCUCUAGGAGAGCCUGCAUAUCUAUUGAUUUUCUCAUUUUCUUAUAAUCCUGUAUUUGCCAGCAGAGCUAGAAACGUAACAGGAGAGCACUUUCAGUGGGGAAAGUUUGGCAAACCCGGAGUAAUCUCAUUGAGAUGAGUGACGGUUUUAGACCUUCUUUUCAUAAUAUGGGGUUUAAAAAUCUAUCUUCUCCUCACAGUGGAGUUGCAGGGCCUUUGGCCCUGAAACCUCUAUGGCAUAAAUGUAAAUCCGCUAAGGAAUGUGCAGUUCUAUCUGGUAAUUUUUGUUGUUGACAGUGUAUUGUAGUAUUACGGUAUUACAAUAUUACAGUUAACAGUCCUUAAAAAGAACGAUAUCUUUUCUGAUUAAUGCUCCUCUGCAAAUGCUUUUCUUAUCUUUUGACUGAUGGCUUCCAUCCUGGAGUCUCCAAAUGCCUUAUAUGAGUGCUUUAAGUAAUGUGUUACAUGCAUUUUAGCUUUACCCAUGUUCUUUUUGAGACUCGUGUGCAGUACCAGGGUGUUUCUCUGCUUCAUUUUUCAGCGCACACACUUCUUGGGGAUUCUUGGAAGUUCUUUAUUUUGAGGGCAGUGAGGCCCUGGCAUAGCUGCCCAGAGCAGUUGUGGGUGCCCCAUCCCUUGAAGUGCUAUAGGCCACGUUGGAGCAGAGUGAUCUAGUGGGAGGUAUUUCUGCCUAUGGCAGGGUUGGAACUUGGUGAGCUUUAAGGCCCCUUCCAACCCAACUCAUUCUGUGAUUCUUGCUUCUUUAUGCAAUUCCUUGUCCCUUUUCAACAAGGGAUGCUAAAGUGGAGAUGGUUAGCAUAUCUGAAAUGCUAGUGAUGUAUGAGUCAAACCCUGAUGAUAAAGAUCUAACAAAUGACCUAAAGUGUCCCUCCACUUUUAAAUUUUCCCCUGCAUUCAAUUUCCUUACUAACAAUUAGUAGAGGAAAUAAUGACAUGAUCACAGUUUACUCUGACUGCCCAGACCAAAAUAGCUGUUUCUGCAAAGCUAAUUAGGAAUGACACACUUAAAAACAUUGUAUUUAAAUUGUCAAUUUAAGUUUUAGAGUUGAUGUAUAGUGGAAACCCAUUUCCCUGAGAUGUGAGAGAGAUGGCAUUGAUUCCCUUCCCUAAUUCAGUAGAUGGGUCUGAAUUUUCCAAAUUCAGCAAAAAAAAAAAAAAAAAAAAAAAAAAAGGCUGAAGAGUCACUCCUGGACUACAGAGCCAACUCUACAUUAACAGCUCAAAACUGCAGAUUCACAUGGAUGUAUAGCACGUUAGUCAUAAGGCUGAGUUACCCUUGGAUAAGGUGCUAACACUGUCGGUGCCCUCUGCAGGUUCAUGGCUCUGACAGCACAGGCUUGAUCUGCAGUGGCUGAGCUUGACUCCACUGAUAGCAUCACCUGCUGUGAAGGUUUGUAGAAUGAAAGCUGUAACUCCAGGUGAGAGAUUGGUUUGGAUUGUAAGUGUUGCACUGCCUUACCAUCAGCCCAGCAGUGCAAUGGCAUGAUGUCCUGGAACUGAUGUAAACGGAACUAUAGACCAAGAGCUGCAGAAUCAGAACAGGCUAUCUUUAAUACUGAAAACGAGAAAGCAUUUUAAAGUACACAGGGCAGACUUGCUAAACUAUUCUUGUGUAGAUUAUGCAGCAUACAGAGCAUAAGGGGUCAAUUCUUGAAGGCAUUCUAAUCUCCUGUACUAGAUGUAAUAUUCCCUGGCUCUUGCAUAUGCGUGUAGCUCCCAUCAGGGAAAAUGGUAAUGAAUUUGCAUACUAAGGAGAAAAUAAAUCCUGAUUCCCCUUCAGUAAUGUAUAAUGUCAACAAAAGUCUUUGAUGAAUGCAGACUCUUCUUAAUUAGAUGCUUGGGUAGGAGAUUAUUAAUCCAUUUAUCUCCAAUUCUAAUUGUACCAUGAAUUGCUUGCUGGUUUACGCCUAACUUUAUGACCAUAUUUAUCUUCCUAGAACCCAUACAGAGUCGUACUCAUAAAUGAACAUUUCUUGAAAGUUGAAUUGUUGUAUUCUUAUUUUAAUUCCCUUCCUCAACGUACAUAUAUGUGAAUAUUCUGAAAUCCUCACUCUAUUAGCCAAGAGUAUAUCCUGCAACAUAACAAUUCCACAAUGCAGCUAUACGCCAUUCCCACAGUAGUGACAUCUGACCUUUAAAAAACAUGGAUUUCUGCACCAGUGACAGCCAGAGGAAGCUGACUGUCAUGGCAAAGGCUGGUCUUCAUGGAGAUAUGCUAAUAAUGGAGCAGGCAUGGCUUGGGGGCUUGCCAGAUUUCAACUGCACAUUAAAACUAAAAGCUUAGGUUGUGAUACUAAUGUAUAAAUACUACUGAUCCCACCGACCUAAAAAUCAUCCCUAGGAGAUUCAGAGCAAGCCAGUCAAUUUGCUAAAAGUUCGUGUAGUUGCCUGCAUGACAUACGUUUGCCUGGAUACAGCUGAGGAUUCAGUUGAAAAUAUCCUCAGGCAGAUGCUUGCUUCCUUUGAACACUCUGAGUUGGCCUAGUUGGCAGCUCAUGGUGUAUACUGCAACAGCUCCAUCUGCCGAAACAACUCAUAAAUCACUGGGACUUCAGAAACUAACAGCCAAUGAUAUUCCUCCUAUCAGCUGUGCUAUUAGUGGCCCUCCAGGUUUUGGUGUUUAGGGCAGGCUAGGUAAGAACAGACUAAGUGGACCAUACUGCAGUUCUUUUGUGUGUAUGCACUGACAUAAGAGAAGGAGAGAGACCAACAGACACAGCUGACAUUCAGGAAAGUGAAAUAAAUUAUAGUGAAUGGAAUCACUUGAUUGAACUGACCCUGUUUUAGAUAGGCUGCCAUACAGGACUUCCUGUGUGCAGGUAAAGAUGGAUGUAAUAACACCAUCCAAACUGUGCAGUGAUAUCUGAGAAUGGAGAAGCUUACUUGAGAGUUGUUGUUUGUGGGCUUUUUUCUCCUCUAUCCUAUACUUUUAACUAUCUAUACUAACUACCAUUAAAAAAAAGAAAAGAAAAAAACACUUAAAAAAAAAAAACCAACAACUGACACAGUUCCUGUUUAAAUACCAUGGCAGAUGAUAGCAUUUCUGGCACCUGUGGGCUCCUAGGUUGCAAGGUGAUUGCUUAUCAAUGGCCUUAAUGAUGCCCCAGCUGACUUCUCCCAUUUAUGGGCUGAUUCUCCUAUCUGGUGCAGAGUGUGUUUCUUGUUAAGAUCCCUGCCUCUCACUGGUGAAAGAAUUCAGGCUAAGGGGAGGCUGACUCUGCUUCUAUCCUUUCGCUUCUAGGAGCACCUUUCGUGGCAGACAGCACCUGCUGCCCAUGUUGAUGUGUCUCACCGCUCUGCUGCCACACGAAUUGAAACCACAGGAAGGGGAGCCCCAGGUCAACAGAGUUGCUGGAAGACAAGGUCAUUAGCCCCAGCAUCCUCCUGCGGGCAUGCAUGGCAGCAAGAAUUGAAAGGAUGAUGUAUUGCACUCUAAGGGAAGGAGGAUUGUGGUCCUGGUGCCUACAGACAUACCUCACAGUGACAGAGCAAGCAGCAGAACAUUCCAGCCAUCUUUCCAGAGAGAGUGAAGGAGGACAGUCAGAACAGAGCACCUACCCACUGAACCUGAAAGCAUGACAGAUCUCACUCUCCUGCCUGCCAAAACUGCUUCUUGAUGGCUGCUACCGUAACACGCCGCCGUGGAUCAGCCUGGCCCUGGGUGCCCCUCUGACACUGCUGCUGUACUUCCAUGGCUCAUACAUCAUCUACUGCUC